CAGUCAAAAAGUUUAGUCGGUGGAGUUCAGUUUGAUUUGCGGUAUUCGCUGGAAUAGAGGUUGUAAUUUGUUUUCUCACGAAACGGCAGCUCUAUAAACAACAAUGGCUAACAUCCUGUGGUCCAUCAUCUGGCUGAUCAUCAUGAUCGUCGUCGGCUUCUGGGUGGCCUUCUUCUGUGCCGGUUGGUACGUGCUGAUCUAUCCGUUGACCGUUUGCAUACCGGACGUGGCGGCUGUAUCGGACUUCCUUCUUUUGGGAGCACAGUUUGUGCACUACUGUGCGAAGAAUCUAGUGGAGGGCAAGUCGUUAUUCUAGGAUAAAUCUACCGUUAGCGUACUGUCGACGAUUUACACCGUUACGCAACGUUAUUUUUUUAUAUUCAUUAUAUUUUUUAAACGCGCGCGCAUAUUUACUGCGAAGAGGAUUUUUUUUUUAAAUAUUUUAUCCGAGGGCCAAUCAACAAACCGUGCAACAUCAAGUGCAAAUUGUAGUACCAUCGAUUUUUAUUAAACGAAUGAAACCACAACAAUGUUCAUCGAUCGUAAAGCUUUAACACUCAUAAAAUAGAAGCUCUAGUUUUAUGAAUAACGAUAA